rnacentral:rRNA from 1 species
UACAGAGGUCCCGAGCGUUGUUCGGAUUCAUUGGGCGUAAAGGGUUCGUAGGUGGCCACUUAAGUCAGACGUGAAAUCCCUCAGCUUAACCGGGGAACUGCGUCUGAUACUGGAUGGCUUGAGUUCGGGAGAGGGAUGCGGAAUUCCAGGUGUAGCGGUGAAAUGCGUAGAUAUCUGGAGGAACACCGGUGGCGAAGGCGGCAUCCUGGACCGACACUGACGCUGAGGAGCGAAAGCCAGGGGAGCAAACGGG